rnacentral:lncRNA from 1 species
CCAUGGAGCUGCCUGAAUCAGUCUUGGCAUUCUUGAGGUGCAACAUCAAUCUAUUAAAUAGGUUGAUCAGAUAUUAUACCCAUUUGUGGUCUAUCCUCGCAACUGCAACUUCAUCCCUCGCACGCUGUGUAAAGACAAUGACCCCUUGAAUGUCUUUGUCCUCAUGCAGGUAACUUGCAUUAAUUCAAUAUAAGCUUGCAUUAAUUCAAAUGGAAUAUGAGUUAUCCAUUUGCACUCUGUCCUCCAAUUCUGAUGGAACAGAAACAUCAUUGAUGUUUCCAUUUGCAAGGUCUAGCAAGAACUCAGCCUCCAAUCAUAGUAUCUUUGCAUCAGCAUUAUAGCAGACCAUCAAGCUAAGUCCUUUUAGUUAGCUGGUGACAAUUCCAUGGGAAGAAAUGAUAAGAAAAUUCCCCUCAACAAAGUCCACUGUAAGAUUGAAAAGCUUACCUACUUGUUAGAAACUUGGAAUAUGACUGGUAAUUACAAGUGAUUAAACCACCAACAGUGGACUGAUUUAC